rnacentral:rRNA from 1 species
AGUCGAGCGACUCCGUCUUUUGGCGGGGAGCGGCGAACGGCUGAGUAAAACGUGGGAACCUACCCCUUUCUGGACCAUAGCUUAUCGAAAGGUAGGGUAAUUGUCCAUGGUAUCCGGCGUUAAGUCGGAUUAAAGAGAUUAACUUCUCGGAAAGGGAUGGGCCUGCGGCCUAUCAGGUAGUUGGUAGAGUAACGGCCUACCAAGCCUACGACGGGUAGCUGGCCUUAUGAGGGUGGUCAGCCAGAGGGGGACUGAGACACGGCCCCCACUCCUACGGGAGGCAGCAAUCAGGAAUAGUCGGCAAUGGGCGCAAGCCUGACCGCGCGACGCCGCGUGCGGGAAGAAGCUCUUCGGAGUGUAAACCGCUGUGGUAAGGGAGGAAUACCGCCGUUGGCGGAAUGACAGUACCUUACUAGAAAGGGGCCGCUAACUGCGUGCCAGAAGCGUCGGUAAUACGUGGGCCCCAAACGUUAUCCGGUGUUACUGGGCGUAAAGGGUCGUGUAGGCGGUUUGGUAAGUUUUUGCUUAAAGCCCGCGGCUUAACCGUGGACCAGGCAAAAAUACUAUCAAACUUGAACAUCUUCUAAGGAGACAGGAACUUGCGGCGGAGUAGUGAAAUGCGUUGAUACCGCAGGGAACACCAAUGGCGAAGCACGUCUCUUUGAGGAUGUUGACGCUGAGACACGAAAGCUAGGGGAGCGAAGCAGAUU